CCUACGGGAGGCAGCAGUGGGGAAUUUUCCGCAAUGGGCGAAAGCCUGACGGAGCAACGCCGCGUGAGGGAUGAAGGCCUCUGGGCUGUGAACCUCUUUUAUCAAGGAAGAAGAUCUGACGGUACUUGAUGAAUAAGCCACGGCUAAUUCCGUGCCAGCAGCCGCGGUAAUACGGGAGUGGCAAGCGUUAUCCGGAAUUAUUGGGCGUAAAGCGUCCGCAGGCGGUCUUGUAAGUCUGUCGUUAAAGCGUGGAGCUUAACUCCAUUUCGGCGGUGGAAACUACAAGACUAGAGUGUGGUAGGGGCAGAGGGAAUUCCCGGUGUAGCGGUGAAAUGCGUAGAUAUCAGGAAGAACACCAGUGGCGAAGGCGCUCUGCUGGGCCAUAACUGACGCUCAUGGACGAAAGCUAGGGGAGCGAAAGGGAUUAGAUACCCCUGUAGUCCUAGCCGUAAACGAUGAACACUAGGUGUCGGGGGAAUCGACCCCCUCGGUGUCGUAGCUAACGCGUUAAGUGUUCCGCCUGGGGAGUACGCACGCAAGUGUGAAACUCAAAGGAAUUGACGGCUGGAGAGUUGCGAGACGACGACGAGGGAGGAGG
rnacentral:rRNA from 1 species